rnacentral:lncRNA from 1 species
UUUAUUUUUGAUGGGAGUACAAAACUGUUAUAUCUUAUCAUCUUAUGUCAUACACUACAUUACUUAUCAAAUCUUUUUCACACAUGCAUUACUUCGUUUUUAGAGGAUGAUCACAAAAUAUAUACCAUGUUCUGCCAUGUGGAAUGCAUGCAUAAUAUACCAUAUUCUACCAUGCGGACUACUGCUAGCCUUUUGGACUCCAGCACUAUCAACUGCCAAUUUCGUCUUCCUCAAACUGCUCCCUCUCAAAUUAUUUUUAUAACAUUUUAAGGAGAAUAUAUAUUACAAAGAGUCCUGUAUUGUAAUAAAUUUGUAUCGAAUUACAAUUGUGAAAUAUUUCAAUCUAUACAUGAGAUGUGAUAAAUUAUAAAGGGU